UCGAAUCAGGUAGGAAUACCCGCUGAACUUAAGCAUAUCAAAGCCGC
rnacentral:rRNA from 1 species